rnacentral:rRNA from 1 species
UACGAAGGGGCUAGCGUUGCUCGGAAUCACUGGGCGUAAAGGGUGCGUAGGCGGGUCUUUUAAGUCAGGGGUGAAAUCCUGGAGCUCAACUCCAGAACUGCCUUUGAUACUGAAGAUCUUGAGUUCGGGAGAGGGUGAGUGGAACUGCGAGUGUAGAGGUGAAAAUUCGUAGAAUAUUCGCAAGAACACCAGUGGCGAAGGCGGCUCACUGGCCCGAUACUGACGCUGAGGCACGAAAAGCGUGGGGGAGCAAACGGGG